UAAAUUAAUAAUAGAAUUUAAACUAAUAAAUUUAACUACUACUGUUUGAAUUAAAAUUGACCAAAUUAAUGUAUAUAUGCAAAAUCUACAACUUACCCAUAAUUCAAAUACUAACAACAAUGCUUCAAAGAAAAAAAAAUACUGUUAUGAAUCCUCAUCUUAGCUUAGACGUGAAAAGGAUGGCAUUCAUUGAGUUUGAAACUUAAAAGUUUCAAACAUCUAAAGUAUCUGCAACACCUUCUCUUAACCCUACACAAAUAUUAGGAAGAGAUUAGAGUCAAGUUGAUGACUUUUGCUGGGUUAUGAAUCUAGGUCUCCCUUACUCUCUUGAAGACGUAUUUUCACAAGGAAAAAAUGAAAAAUGGAGCAAGAGAGAAACUAGAUUCAUAAGCCAAUAAAAGUUCAUAUUUCAGAGAUUAGACGUGAAAAGGAUGGCAUUCAUUGAGUUUGAAACUUAAAAGUUUCAAACAUCUAAAGUGUCUGCAACACCUUCUCUUAACCCUACAAAAACAUUAGGAAGAAACUAGAGUCAAGUUGAUGAAUUUUUGCUGGGUUAUGAAUCUAGAUCUCCCUUACUCUCUUGAAGACAUAUUUCAUAAGGAAAAUAUGCAAAUGGAGCAAGAGAGAAACUAGAUUCAAAAGCCAAUAAAAGUUCAUAUUUCAGAGGUUGAGAAAAAAUAUAAAAGCAGAAGGAAGUAAAAGGGAAACUAAUAGGCUCAUAUAUUUAUUUACUAAGUUUGCAUUAAGUGUUUAUUGCGUUUUAAUUACUUGUAAUCAUUUCAGACGUGCUUGAAUUUUGCUAUAAUGUUUUAUUAAUAUUAAAAUUAAAGUUUUUAUUGUGUUGAUAAAAUUUGUUAUUUAUUAUCUACCAUAGAAAUUUAAUAUUUUUUUUUCUAAAUUAAAUUAAUGAAUUUCCUCUUUUUUUUUUUUAAAAAAAAAAGGAAAUUGCGAAGUAGGUAGCAUGUUUCUCUUUAAAUGCAAACCUUUAUGGUUGACUCUUAAGUCUAUACCAAAUCAAUUUUAAAUAAAUUUUCAUGUUUUUUUUAUAGGGUUUAUUUAGAUAAAGAAGAAUGAAGGAAAGUGGGAGGAAUGAUGGAAAGGAACCUCUAAUAAUUGUUCUAGAGAAGGAAUACUUAAUUAAAAGUAAAAAUAUUGUAAAAUAUCUAAUUAAAAAUUUUCAAUAUUUUAACACUCCAUUUACUUUU
rnacentral:lncRNA from 1 species